rnacentral:rRNA from 1 species
GCGCAGCAGUCGCGAAAACUCCGCAAUACGCGAAAGCGUGACGGGGCUACCCCGAGUGUCGUCCGCUGAGGACGACUUUUCCACGCUGUAAGGAGGCGUGGGAAUAAGGAGAGGGCAAGUCUGGUGUCAGCCGCCGCGGUAAUACCAGCUCUCCGAGUGGUAGGGACGAUUAUUGGGCUUAAAGCGUCCGUAGCCGGCUCAGCAAGUCUCCCGUUAAAUCCAACGAUUCAAUCGUUGGACUGCGGGAGAUACUGUUGAGCUAGGAGGCGGGAGAGGUGGACGGUACUCUAUGGGUAGGGGUAAAAUCUUCUGAUCCAUGGAAGACCACCAGUGGCGAAGGCGGUCCACCAGAACGCGCUCGACGGUGAGGGAUGAAAGCUGGGGGAGCGAACCGGAUUAGAUACCCGGGUAGUCC